GCGAAUGGUGGAUGCCUUGACUGGUAAAGGCGAUGAAGGACGUACUAGACUGCGAUAAGCUACGGGGAGCUGUCAAGAAGCUUUGAUCCGUAGAUUUCCGAAUGGGGCAACCCAAUGUAUAGAGAUAUACAUUACCUAUAUAGGAGCGAACGAGGGGAAUUGAAACAUCUUAGUACCCUCAGGAAAAGAAAUCAAUAGAGAUUGCGUCAGUAGCGGCGAGCGAAAGCGCAAGAGGGCAAACCCAGUGCUUGCACUGGGGGUUGUAGGACUGCAAUGUGCAAGAGCUGAGUUUAGCAGAACAUUCUGGAAAGUAUAGCCAUAGAGGGUGAUAGUCCCGUAUGCGAAAAACAAAGCUUAGCUAGCAGUAUCCUGAGUAGGGCGGGACACGAGAAAUCCUGUCUGAAUCCGGGUCGACCACGAUCCAACCCUAAAUACUAAUACCAGAUCGAUAGUGCACAAGUACCGUGAGGGAAAGGUGAAAAGAACUGAGGUGAUCAGAGUGAAAUAGAACCUGAAACCAUUUGCUUACAAUCAUUCAGAGCCCUAUGUAGCAAUACAGGGUGAUGGACUGCCUUUUGCAUAAUGAGCCUGCGAGUUGUGGUGUCUGGCAAGGUUAAGCAAACGCGAAGCCGUAGCGAAAGCGAGUCUGAAUAGGGCGCUUAGUCAGAUGCUGCAGACCCGAAACGAAGUGAUCUAUCCAUGAGCAAGUUGAAGCUAGUGUAAGAACUAGUGGAGGACUGAACCCAUAGGCGUUGAAAAGCCCCGGGAUGACUUGUGGAUAGGGGUGAAAGGCCAAUCAAACUUCGUGAUAGCUGGUUCUCUCCGAAAUAUAUUUAGGUAUAGCGUUGUGUCGUAAUAUAAGGGGGUAGAGCACUGAAUGGGCUAGGGCAUACACCAAUGUACCAAACCCUAUCAAACUCCGAAUACCUUAUAUGUAAUCACAGCAGUCAGGCGGCGAGUGAUAAAAUCCGUCGUCAAGAGGGAAACAACCCAGACUACCAGCUAAGGUCCCUAAAUCUUACUUAAGUGGAAAACGAUGUGAAGUUACUUAAACAACCAGGAGGUUGGCUUAGAAGCAGCCAUCCUUUAAAGAAAGCGUAAUAGCUCACUGGUCUAGUGAUUUUGCGCGGAAAAUAUAACGGGGCUAAAGU
rnacentral:rRNA from 1 species